GUGACAGUGGAGGCAGCGAGUGGAGUGGCACAGCUGCAAGGAAAGGAAUGCCAAGCAUGAUGCCAAGAAACAGGAAGAAUCCUCCCUGGAGCCUGCAGACAGAGCACGGCCUGCUGACACCUUUACUUCUGACUUCUGGUCUCCAGAACUCACCAGAGCGGACGUUUCAGCCCUUCCCACCUGGCGACUCUGUUUCCUAAUUGACUCCAAAUGCGGAGGAGAGCAACGACGUGCCUGAGAGCAACCCUGGGUCUGGUCUGGGUCUUGCAAUUACACCCUGAGCACCUAGAUGCACCAUAAGCAUUGAAUUCCUUUUACAGAGAGGGAAGAGUAGCUGCGGAGCAUAAAGUCACACAGCCUGCAAAAGUGGAGCUGGGAUUCAAAGGAGUGUUUUCAUGACUCAUGGCCUCUGACCUCUAGGGUCAAAGACAGACCCAGGGAGAAUGAGAAGUUAGGGUUUCUGCCAGCAGCCUUUGGUGCCCAGGGACCAGGCCCAGUGAGUACCCAGAACUCACCUUCUCCUGCCCUCCUCCCCAACCCCUUCUCAGCUUACUCCUACCGGAAGCCCUCCCUUGGGUAUCAUUUCCUACAGAGGAAGUCUCCUUUGUCCCUGGAAGUGCAAAUCUGGCUAUGAGAGGGACAGGCCUCUUGGGGGCUAUUGUGUGGCACUUCCUUCUUGGCAGUGGGCCUCGGCCCCUGGGCCCCUUUGCUGCCUGGCUGUCCAGGGUCUGAGCCCUCCCAGAGGCUCCCAAGGCUGGAAGAGCACUGAUGAAACAGCCAGUUAGUAGGUCAGAUGACUGUGACUUGGCUCCUGCCCUCAAGGAGAUAAGGGUGUGAUGAAAGACCUGAGC